rnacentral:lncRNA from 1 species
AGAAGAUUGAACUCUCAACCAUGACACAUGUGAUGGGGAAAUCUGAGUUGAUGGACUGAAAAUCUUGAAUCUGAAUUCCUUUGAAUCUUCUGAGCCCACAGAAGUAGCCCACUCCUCCCUUUGAAGAUGGAAGUGCAUGUUGUAGAGGAUAAAGUCUGUCCUGCAUGCUGUGCAGUGUCCUGAUGAUACUGGCCCGGACUCACUGAUGCUGCCAUGUCCUCAUGGUCUCUAAGUGAUUUGAUACCUCUGUGUGCUGUCUCACAGUCUCUUGGCCUCACUUCUGACUCCAACUAUGGCUAUGGCAAACAGUUCUUGUGGCCUUUGACUCACUGGCAAUAUCUCACCUUAAGCACACACCAGCCAUUUUCAUUUGCUGUCCCAGUCCUUCCCUGACAUAGCGGAAUGGUGGAGGUGCCAUGGCUUAGCAGAAAGAGUCCAGCCUUUGAAGUACUUUGGGGUUAUUUAAUGAAUAUUAGAUGAUCCAUAAGGACAGUGACUUUAUCUCUUUUCUACCAAUUUUAUCUAUUCCCUGCUGAAUCCCUAGUGCCUAAAAGGAGUAUCUGGCAAUUCAAAAACACUUGAAAAAAUAUUGCUGAUGCAAUGUAUAUGGAACAUUUAAC